rnacentral:rRNA from 1 species
ACUCCUACGGGAGGCAGCAGUGGGAAUAUUGGACAAUGGGCGAAAGCCUGAUCCAGCAAUGCCGCGUGUGUGAAGAAGGCCUUAGGGUUGUAAAGCACUUUCAGCAGGGAAGAAAGCUUGGGGCUAAUACCCGCCGUCUCGGUACCUGCAGAAGAAGCACCGGCUAACUCCGUGCCAGCAGCCGCGGUAAUACGGAGGGUGCAAGCGUUAAUCGGAAUUACUGGGCGUAAAGCGCGCGUAGGUGGUUCGGUAAGUCGGGUGUGAAAGCCCGG